rnacentral:rRNA from 1 species
GAUGAACGCUAGCUACAGGCUUAACACAUGCAAGUCGAGGGGAAACGACAUCGAAAGCUUGCUUUUGAUGGGCGUCGACCGGCGCACGGGUGAGUAACGCGUAUCCAACCUGCCCAUCACUUGGGGAUAACCUUGCGAAAGUAAGACUAAUACCCAAUGAUAUCUCUAGAAGACAUCUGAAAGAGAUUAAAGAUUUAUCGGUGAUGGAUGGAGAUGCGUCUGAUUAGCUUGUUGGCGGGGUAACGGCCCACCAAGGCAACGAUCAGUAGGGGUUCUGAGAGGAAGGUCCCCCACAUUGGAACUGAGACACGGUCCAAACUCCUACGGGAGGCAGCAGUGAGGAAUAUUGGUCAAUGGGCGGGAGCCUGAACCAGCCAAGUAGCGUGCAGGAAGACGGCCCUAUGGGUUGUAAACUGCUUUUAUAAGGGAAUAAAGUGAGAGUCGUGACUCUUUUUGUAUGUACCUUAUGAAUAAGAACCGGCUAAUUCCGUG